rnacentral:rRNA from 1 species
ACGCUGGCGGCGUGCCUAACACAUGCAAGUCGUACGAGAAAGUUGGCUUCGGCCGAUGAGUAAAGUGGCGCACGGGUGAGUAAUGCGUGGAUAAUCUGCCCUUUAGUUGGGAAUAACGUACCGAAAGGUGCGCUAAUACCUGAUAAUACUGCAUAACUACUGUUGUGUAGUCAAAGAAGGCCUCUGUUUACAAGCUUUUGCUGAAGGAUGAGUCCGCGUACCAUUAGCUGGUUGGUGGGGUAAUGGCCUACCAAGGCUACGAUGGUUAGCUGGUCUGAGAGGAUGAUCAGCCACACUGGUACUGAGACACGGACCAGACUCCUACGGGAGGCAGCAGUGAGGAAUAUUGGUCAAUGGGCGCAAGCCUGAACCAGCCAUCCCGCGUGCAGGAAGACGGCCCUAUGGGUUGUAAACUGCUUUUCCAGGGAGAGAAACUUACGCACGUGUUGCGUGACUGACGGUACCCUGGGAAUAAGCAUCGGCUAACUCCGUG